rfam:Azospirillum sp. B510 DNA, complete genome.
GGCGCAUUCCAGGGGGGUCCCGACAGGGGGCUGAGAUACCAACGGCCAAACGGCGCGAAGCGCCAUCGGCAGCGUGGUGACCCUUUGAACCUGAUCCGGGUCAUACCGGCGAAGGGAGGGACCUCGUGACGGGC